rnacentral:tRNA from 1 species
UAGCUCAGUGGUAGAGCGCUUGCCUUGCAUGCAUGAGGCCCUGAGUUCAAUUCCUCAG